CUUCACUUAUUUCUUUUUUAUUUUCUUUUUGUACCUGUCUUUGAAGUGAGGAAGUGUGCAGACACUUUUGCAGAAAGAAAGCAGCAAAUGCUUAAGAUGAAGAGAUGGAUGGAUAGAAAAAGAGAGGGUGGGGAGAAAGGAGACUUUACACUUCUGCACCGUUUCCUCUCGCUUCAGUCUUUGUGUCGUUUUGGCAUGCAUUGUCUCUCUUCUCUUCUUCUCUCCCCUGUUAUUCUCAACCUGUUCAUCUCCAGAAUGGAUAAAAGGCUUGUACUUACCAUCCUGGCCCUGUGUGUAAUGAAUGUUGUAAGCGAGACAUCCACCUCCCAACAUCCCACACCAUCCAACUCCACUCCUGCUACCUCCAGUACUCCCGCUCCCACCAACUCAUGUGUGUGUAAUAUCCCCACUGCCUGUGCCUCUCCAACCCAGCCCGAGUCUCCGCCACCUGCGCUGGGUGUUUUCAAGGUCAAAUGGAAAGAGUCCUGUCAGGGGGAGAUACGCCUGUCCCUCCUCUCGCCCCGUUCCUUACCACUCUGCUUUAAAAGUAGGUACCAUCAUAACCUUACACUGGGAGUGUUGUGUGAGAGGAAGGGCUGCAAGGGCUCCCCAAAUGUGGACUGAGAUCCCUGCUAGCUCUAUGGGUUACCAGCUCAGUAGGGGAUGGAAGGGUUACCAAAAACUCCUGUACAACACUGAGGAUCCAGUGCGAAGUCGUCCCAGAUCAGUUAGUGGGCUAUAAGGUGGUGACUGGUCUCCUGUGUGUUCUGGUGCUGGUGGUGCUGAUGGUGCGUUUCGGGCAGCCCUCCCUCAAGGCCCUCCGUAAGAGACUGUCAGACAAGAGACAGAGUCGGUGGGUUGGACCUACACAGAGUCAAAGUGUCUCCUACCAUAGAGGGAAGGCUGGACUCCAACUUAACGACAACACAGACAAGAGACACUCCUACCCUGGGUUGGAGAGACUGACAGUGAACAACAGCCGAGAGCCUUCAUCUAACAGAAACAGUGAUUAUGACUCUUAUAACGUAUGAUCUUCAUCAUCAUCAUCCUCCAGCCACUAUGACAAAAUACUGUACAUGUAUUUUUUUUUAUUUUGCUAUAUUCUUUAUGCUAAAUUGUAUAUAUUUUUACGCACAUAAUAUCCUUUGUUUUCUACAGAUGUAAUUCAAUAAUUGACUUAUUUUAUUGAAUAAACGUAAAGCUUGUUGUUGAAUAAAACUUUUGUUCCUCAUACUGAUAAGUGAACAGAAUGUUGAAAGUGAGAGAAAGAAAGGUCAUGAAAAGCAGGAUAAGCGAAAGAGGGAGAGAAGGUAAUGUUGUGAGAAAGAAAGGGGAUAAAAAAAGAUGUAAACUGGGUUAUGUAGAGACGGGGGAAAUGACGAGUGAGUGGUCGCACACACACACGCACUCACACACAAACUUCUGAUUUCUGCAACGAUGUGGCUUCCUGUACCAUUGACACCAACAUCCUGUUUCUGUUAUUUCUGUCACACUUUCAUUCCCUCAUUCUCUCGUUCUAAAUUUAUGUUCAUCUUACCCCUGUGUCUCGCUUCUCAUCCUCGAACAACCUCCAUCACCCUUUUGUGUUCUUCUUCUUCCUCCAUCCGUCAUUCCUUUCUUCAUAAUCCCCCUCUUUUUCUCCAUCUCCAUCUUCCUGUCCUCUAUUCAUUUGGCUGUCGUGUCAACAUUUUUCUAAUUUAUUUUCUCAAAGUAAGACUAUUGUUGUGGAGGAGAUUGUUCUUCCGUAUCUUUUCACUUCUCUUUUGAGUUGAAUGAAAGAAUGUUUUCUGUCUGGAAUUGAAGUGGAGAAGAUUGUGCCGACGCCAUCUUAUUGUAGAAAAACACUGUUUGGCAAACUGAGCCUCAGUCAGUCUUCCACGUGUGUGUGUGUGUGUGUGUGUGUUUGUGUGAGUCAAGAGGUCAAAUACGGGGUGAUUAUAUCUGUCCUGUUUCACACAUGUACAAGUGUAUAACCUGUAGCGGGUGUGGUGAAAUGGAAAUGUAUUUUGCACAUCCCACUCCACAUGAGGCACCCUUGGAGAGUGGGGUCACGGCAUGUGUGUGUGUGUGUGCGUGCGUGAGUCACACACACGAUUUGGCAUGGAAGACAACUAUACAUUGUGUGUGUGUGUGUACAUGUGAGUGCAUGCAGGGCAGUGUGUGACGUGUGUGUGUCUGUGAGCGAGAGUGUGUGGGCGUAGUUCUGUCUUCCUCUCUGUCAGGUCACGCUAGACUAGAGGAUUACAUCUUUCCCAUCAGAGGAACAAUGACAGAUGACAACAGAUUACGCACAGAGAUUAUCUCAGAAAGAGGGAGAGAUGUGGAGUGAGAGGGUGAAAGAGGGGAGAGAGGGAAGAGAGAGAGGAGAGGAUGGAGCGACAAAAGUAUGAUCAAGUGAACCGGCUGUAAAUCUAGUCACUUUGACACAUUGAGUGAGUGACUACAUAAAAUGCAACACGCAUGAUGCGCAUUAACAGGCAUACAGAUAUUAAAAUAGCUCUCACUCUCAGAUACAGAUACACAUGCAGCAUGCACAAACUGAAAUAACUGUACUCAGUGAAGUCCAGUCCAUGUAAAUAAAGAUUAUUAAGUUGUUAAAAUGUAAUAAUACCUCACCAUCA